rnacentral:tRNA from 1 species
GGUGCGUUAGUUCAGUUGGUUAGAAUAUCGCCCUGUCACGGCGGAGGUCACGGGUUCGAGUCCCGUACGCACCG